ensembl:lncRNA LINC02306 long intergenic non-protein coding RNA 2306
AAAAGAAUGGGGAAGUAUUGGUUCCAGACCUGCUGCAGAGAGAGGCUCAAAGAGACUCGGCACUGGCAGAACAAAGAAACCUAGGAGGGAAGCUUUGCUCCAAAAGAGAGGUUUUGCUUCAGGAGAAGACUGUUCCAAGAAAAGGGAGACUGGCUGUUUCAAACUCAAAAAAGCUGAUCUUAUGGCUCUUAGCAAAAUACAUGAAGGCCAUCAUCGGAUGUGGGCUGAUUGAUCUUGGACUUCCAAGCCUCCAGAACUAGAACUACUCCACCAUCAUCUGAUGUGGUUCUGAUGGCUGUGUGUUUCUCAGCUUUAUCCUCAGCCUGUGGGUAAUUUAAAAUAAAUACUUUUGCAAGUGAACCAAUAGAAAUAUUUCACUGUCAUUGGGCAGAAAGCUAAAAACCUAAUUACGUUGGAAGUAGGAAGAGGAAGUAAGUAUGGUUGGAAGAGGUGGAGUCUGGUGCUGCCAGAGCAGAAAGCACAAAGAAGAACGUGCUUUUAGGUGGGUGCCCUAAGAGACAUGAUAAGUGAAAAAGGGUUACAGCCUCUGGCUAUCAGAGACUCAUGGAUUCCCCAUCUUACCUCUUGGAACACGUGCUCCUAGACCCAGCUGCCAUGCAAUGAGGAAGCCAAAGUAAUGCUGUAAAGAGGCUCACAUGGAGAGGAACUACCAACAGCCAGUAUCAAACUGCAAUCCAUGCAAGUAAAGGCACCUCAACUGACAUCAUUUAGAGUGGGAAUGUGAUGUGCCAGUCAAGUCUUGACCACAUUGCAAUUAGCAGAGAAUGGCCAGACACAUUCUCCUGAACCACUGGUCCUCAAUUAUCAUCAUCUGUGGUUUGUUAUCUGGGAAACCUGACUGGAGACAUGAGAACAGUGAUGCCAAGAGUACACCAAUGAAACAUUUUGAAGCUGGAUCACCUACCUGGACCCCUUUCUGGUAACAUCUUUCUGGUGAACCCUGAAGGGAUGAUACUGAAGAGAUUCCCCGACCCAAAGGAAAAUCGUCUGCCUGCACCAAUAGGCUGACUUUGGGGUGACCAUCUUGCCCAGAGAACACAAGCUGAGACUCCUGGUCAGAGGUUGGAUUACCAAUGACUGAGCCCAACUGGGGACAAGUUUGAGCCUUGCCAAUGUGAUAUUGAGGGCUAAGCAGAGUGGCUAAUGUCUAUGUUUUGUCACACAUAUUUUGCUCUGGCCAAAAAGAAAAACAUAAUUUUCCUUUGUGUUGUGGCUUGGCACCCAGGGCUGUGAUACAGCUUGCUGGGUUACCAGGUUUGCUCAGGGAAGGGGAACCCAGAAGCCUGGCAUAGUAAAAAUUUCUUACCAAACUUCUGGUGUCUCUCUCUCUCUCUGUCUGUCUCUCUCUCUCUCUCUGCAAACUGGUUGAAUGAAUGGCAAAAAUCAUUGUUUAUCACCUCUGUAAAGUUUUGAUUAAUGGGAAGAAGGAUUCAUGAGACUCAUCUUGAGCUGUAGUGAAUCUAGUGUACUUUGUGUGUCUUUCUGUAUUGCUCUGUCAUAAAGAGGGAUACCUUAAGAUAAAAUGUGAGCCUAGGACCUCGUAAGCUUGUUGUUCAGAAUGGCCCAGCGAACUGGUCAGUUCCAGCUGUGCCUGCUUAUUAGACCCUAGGAAGUGCAUGCUUUAAAGAGAAACAUAAAAAUUUGCAAGUGAUAAGCCUUACAACUACAGGGUCUUCUUUCUGUCGGUGUAUUUAUAUGUGUUGUGUGUAAUAUGAAAGAGUUUUGAUUAAUUGGCUUAAUAAUAAGAGCUUAAACAAAAUAUUUUGUCAGAAGAGUAGAAAGUGUAAUCCCUUUUAGUUCAUGUGACUUUUAGUAAUCUUUGGGAAAUAAAAACAGUUUUAAAGAUUAUUAGUAAAAUAAAAAUUUCUUCAAAAAUGUAAACAUUUGGUCUAAAUUGUGCAGGUCAGAUAUAACGUAGGCUAAAUGCUUUAUCAUGAUAAACUGCUUCUUUGACUUUUGAAAAUUGUUCAUUUUACUUAUCUUGAAGCCAUUAGAUUCUAGAUAAGGCCUAGGGACAUGUGGAAUUAGCCAUAUCUCCUAGCUAUGCAAAGAAGGUUAUAAAGAUCCUUAUAUAAGAAAGGAUCAUGUAUGGUAAAUUCUAUUUCUAAAGUAAAAUGACUGGUUGCUUAAAAAGAUAUUUAGGUCAAGUCAGAAAGUCCAAGCACAUUGUAUACUGUCUGUGUAAGUCAUGAAAGAAUUUGUGAAAGGAAUUUAUGCAAGAAAUGCUGUACAAUUUGAGGGUUGUCAGGCUUCCUACAUGCUUCAUAAUAUGCCACUAUGACUCUUAACCAUACAGCUUGCCUGCUUUGCAGCUAGGUAAGGCCUGGGACAUGUGGAGUUAGCCAUGCCUCCUAGCUAUGCUGGAAACAGUGAGAUGUUAUCUGCACUUCCAUCUGGGUCCUAGGCUCCACACCUGGUUCAUAAUUAAAAUCGCUGACUUACCAAGGUUUUCACCAAAAGUAAAAGUCACUAAGAGUUAACAUUAUAAUAUGUAAUUGAGACUACUUAAAAAACAGUUUUACAUGCAAGGUGUGUAAGAAAAGUGAAAUGUGUUUUUGGUAAAAGAUUAUAAGAAGGCACAGGAAUGUGGAUUUCUUGCCUAAGUUUCAAGGGUUAAAGGAUUGUUUUAAGUUAGAUAAGCUGAAGCUUUGAGAAAAUUGUGUAAGGUUUGUGAAAAAAUAAGCUUGUAAAAGAAAUUCUGUGUGUGCACAUAUUGGCUAAAGUAAAAGAGGUGUUAUUCAGUUUUUCCAUAAAUUGAACAUUGGAAUAAAAGCACAACAGGUUUUUCUUAGAGCAUUUAUCUGUUCUUUAACAAAAAUUGUAAAGUGUUAUAAAAGGUUUAUAAGAAUCUUACCUUAUGUUCAAAGUGAGUAAGGUUAAAUAGAUUGGUUUAUAAGGUUUUAUUAAGAAUUAGGAUUAACAUUAAUAGUACUAAUGUAAAGGUAAAAUUUGGCUUAUUUGGUAUAAA